ensembl:lncRNA
CUCUUGGGAGGUGCAGCGUGCGAGCCUGCGCACCUCGUGCGGGAGGCCGAAUCCCCGAGGGUCGAGCGCGGCCCGGGUGGUGGGGGUUAUUAAUUACUCCGCUGGGCCUAAUGCCUCCAACCCCCAGCGGCGGCUGGCUUGGGUAUCCUGCGGGUUUUAUUUGCACACAAUGGAAAUGAUUUGUUUUCUCUAAAAAAGGAGUGAGUAUGGCAGAUAUUUGAGGAAGGAGGUGGGAGGAGGAGAAGGAAGGGGAGAGAGCUGAGGAAAAAAGUUUGAAAAUGCCUUGAACUAUUCACUGUCGAGAUGGCUAAUCAGUAUUGAGGCCGGAGGGCAGGCGGGCCGCCUUUCACCGCCGCUUUCCUUUCAUCUCGGGCUCGGCGGAGGCGCUCAAUUAAAAGCCUAUCAGUUUGUAAGUAAAUCAACGCCUAUCAGAGUUGUCACAUCAAACAAAACGAUUAUUAUUGCAGCCCGCCUCCCCUAUUAAUCUCCCUCGAAGAUAAUCCGCCUGACAGGUCAGGCCCGGCGAGCUGGAAAGCCUGGCCCAGAGCACCCAAACAGUCCCGGACUGGCGCGCACCCCCAGGGACCUCCCCACCCUCGUCCGGUUCCGCCUUGCAGUCCCCGGGGAGGGACGAGAGAAAGAGCGCUCGAAGGCCCAGGGACAGGACCCGCCUUACUCCACGAGGAGCGGGGCCCGGAUUCUCCGGGCCGUAGGGGACCAUCCCGCGCAGCCCCGGCCUUUUCUCGGGGUCUGGGAGGCUCCAAAGAAUCGACGGAUUUCUCUGGCAGUCGUUUGCACUGAAUUUAUCCGAAUAAAGCCCACUCUCAGGCAUCCAGCAGAACCAGCUCUCCACUGGCAAGUACUGUACGUUACACCUCGGCCCAGCCGGGGGCGCGGGGUGGCUCCAGUGUACAGGUGCGGCGGGCCUGAUCUCUGAGGUCGGAUGCACCAACAGUGCCCUCAGGUCUAGCGGGCUCUCACUGCCCAGCAGUGUCUGGGCGCCCUUACUUUGCUUAACGCCUGGGGAACGAGCCAGGCCAAGUCCGCCCGCCCGCAGCGAAAACUGAAAGGAAACUCUACUGCAGGCGUAGCCGGAACUUUCCUCGAUGCAAGUUUUCAACCGAGAUUGUUGACAGCUUUGGGAAGACAGCAGGCUUGUGUGAGUGCUCUCGGGUGGGGUGGGCUGGAAGAGGGCAACCGGGUGCCCAAGCCUGGCCCAAGGUGAAAACUCUUGGGAACCCCUCCACUCCACUCCUAUUUCUUCACAAUUCUUCGGCUCUGGAUGGUAAAAAGAAAGAAAGAAAAAGUUUCCAAGUUGCCACGGACACCCAGCAUGGAUCUCGCUAGGGGGCAACGGGAGGGGGGCUGGCUUUGGAAAAGUUGUAGAAAGCUUUCCUCAAAAGCGUCACCGUAUUAAAGUCAAAAAAACCCUUAGGACCUGUUCCUUCCUUGGGACAGAAUCAGGAAUCAGGCUGGGCAGCUCCCUGGCCAGUUCUCUGCUCUCGCCUCGAACAAGAGGUUAAAUAACCACCCACCGCCUGAGCUGCAAACUUGCAGCUCUGCGCUGCCAUCCUCGGACAAGGCCUGGACACAGAGGGGCCGGCUCGGCCCAGCGCUGGGAGAGGUUGGCACGGGGUGGGAGGGUGAGUGGGGUUCCCACUUGGCUAUUCCGACGCUCAGAGCCGAUCGCCCAGCUCGGGGCAGCCGGCACUUUUCCCCGGGAGCUGCGGAUUUGGGGAGCCCGGCGAAGGUGGAAAAUUGCGCGCGCGGACUGGCGCGGGGGCGGCUGCUCGUCUCGCCGCGGGGCCUGUCGCCGGGCUGGCCGCGGCGGGUGAGUGAUGGGGGCAGAGAAGGGCGCCCAUAAAUCGUGGGUGUCAGGGCGAAAAACUCUCUUUAUUGUCUGCGUGAUGGAUGGGCCCGGGGACGAGACACCAAAUACUUCGUAUCGCCUUUAAAUGGGAACACAUUUUCCGCGGCCAUAAUUCAUGUUUUUUAAAUAGAAAGUUUGAAAUGUUGCCUAUAUUUCACCGGCCCUGACAUAUUUAUGAAUCGCUCCUUGCAUGCAAAUAUCAUUAUUUAAAGCGCCAGAGAGCGCGGGGGAGGGGAGAAGGCGCGGCCCCCGGGGCGUGGGGGUGGUGAACCGGGGAAAUAUCGGUGGAGGGGGGACAUCUCCCUAAAGGCCAGAGGAUGGAGCGCGGGGCAAAGCCGUGUUUGGAAGCUGAGCGCGCCCUGGGGCUUCUCUCCUGUCGCGACAGCGCGCCGCCACGGUGGGGAGAGGGGUGUUGUUGCGCGGUUUGGGGUGCAAGACUAGCCCCGGUCUCCUGCCUCUACACCAGGAGAUAUUUUGGGUCCCUCUCCGAGGACUGGAUCCAGACUGAAGCCACCUUUUCCAAGAAGAAAGUGGGAAUAAAAAAAAAAAAGAAUUUAACAAACACAACCCAACAUCUUUCAUGUUCUUUGCUAUUGCAUCGAUUUUAUUGAUUUUCAUUCUGCAAACCUGGGAUUCUGCGCACCCGGACCAGGCGGCUGUGAGAAACCGGUCACCGCAGGGGGUAGGUGGGGGGCUAAUCCUCGGGUGCCACCGCCCCAUCCGCCCCACCCCACCGCCUCACCAUCUCCCAGGCACCACGGAGACUGCGCCAGACGCGGGGACACAGAGGACCCGGCCCCCCCAGCCCCAGGGCUUCAGUCCCGCUCCUUCUUUCCCCCAGUGCACAGCAGCGCUGCCAGGGUCGGCAUCAACCCUCCCGGACCCCCCUACUGUCAGAAUAAUCGCAUUGGGAAAAAGCCAGGCCCAAGCCGUCGCUUCUCCCCAGUCAUCCAGCCCGGGAAGCGCCUACACCUGCGCCCUUACUUGCCAAGACUUUACCUGUGGGGUCCCCAGCCGCGCCUGCGGCCGCGCAGAUAACAAAGAUAUGGUAGGGAGGGCGGGAGAGUGGGUGGGUCAGAGAGCAACACCCGAGAGAGCCAGAGGCGCCCAGGUGCGUCUGUGUGGACCCGAUGCUGGGGCCCCGACCGAACGGGCUAGCGGAGCCGAAUUUCACUGGGGAGAUCCGGCCCGGGGAGGGACUAAGGGAACAGGGCUGGGGAAGGAGGGGCGGGCCCAGCAGCACUUCCGCUGGAGGUGGGG